GGCAACCCAUUAGGUAAUUCUUUUCCCAUGAGACUGAAUGCUGAUGAAGUCACGCGUGCGUGAUUGAGCAGGACUUAGCUAGUAUAUCUUCUGCUGCUAGAUGACGACCGUCACGAGUCAGCAAAUGGCUUGGUAGUGACGAGGAUGCUAGCUCUGUAUGUCUCGACUAGUCUACGUGACAGCAGCCGCUGGUAUACGUUAGGUGGCUAGCGUUGAUCCUGAAUCUACUUGGUCGUAAAGCGAGUGGCAGGCGGUUGUCUAAUGUCUGAUGUGAAAGCCUUCGGCUCGCCUAAGCAGUGCAUUGGAAUUUGAGCGUUAUGAGUACAGAAGAGGACAGUAGAACUCUAUGUGUAGCGGUGAAAUGUGUAGAUAUAUGGUAGAAUACCAGUGGCGAAAGCGGCUGUCUGGUCUGUCUCUGACGUUGAGGCUCAGAAACCAUGCGUAGCAAACAGGAUUAGAUACCCUGGUAGCCCAUUCUGUAAACGUUGAGUGCUAGGUGUUAGAGUUUUCUGUCCUUUAGUGCAGAAGUUAUCACAUUAAGCCAAUGACCUGGGGAGUACGAGCGCAAGGUUUUAACUCAAAGGAAAAGACGGGGCCCCGCACAAGUGGUGGAGCAUGUGGUUUAAUUCGAUGCUACGCGAAGAACCUUACCAGGCCUUGACAUACUUCUGUUAGGCUAAGAGAUUAGCUGUUCCCUUCGGGGACACAAGCACAGGUGGUGCAUGGUGGUCGUCAGUUCGUGUAGAGAGAUGUUGGGUCAAGUCCCGCAUCGAGCACAACCCGUGUGUCUAGUAGCCAGCAUUCAGUUGGGCACUAUAGUCAGACUGCCGGUGAUAAACCGGAGGAAGGUGAGGAUCACGUCCGAUCAUCAUGCCCCUUAUGGCAUGGGGUACACACGUGGUACAAUGGACAGUACAAUGGGUUGCGAAACCGCGAGGUCAAGCUAAUCCCAUAAAGCUGUUUUCAGUUCGGCCUUCAGUCUGCAACUUGACUGCCAGAAGCUGGAAUCACUAGUAAUCGUGGAUCAGCAUGCCACGGUGAAUCCGUUCCCGGGUCAGGUACAUCCCGCCCGUCACACCCGGAGAGUCCGUAACACCCAAAGAUAGUGCGGCAACCUCUUUUGAGGAGCCAGCUAUCUAAGGUGGGACGAAUGAUUAGGGUGAAGUCGUAACAAGGUAUCCCACGCCGAUGCC
rnacentral:rRNA from 1 species